rnacentral:rRNA from 1 species
UACAGAGGGUGCGAGCGUUUGUUCGGAAUUAUUGGGCGUAAAGGGCGCGUAGGCGGCGCCACAAGUCACUUGUGAAAAACUCUGGGCUCAACUCAGAGCCUGCAAGCGAAAACUGGGGGUGCUGGAGUAUGGGAGAGGUGCGUGGAAUUCCCGGUGUAGCGGUGGAAUGCGCAGAUAUCAGGAAGAACACCCCGUGGCGAAGGCGGCUCUCUGGAAACGCAAACU